rnacentral:tRNA from 1 species
GCCGGUGUGGAGGAGUUCGGAGUCCUCGCUUCUCUGUCGAGGAAGAAAUCGCGGGUUCGAAUCCCGUCACUGGCGCAA